GAACGCGAAGAACCUUACCAGGUCUUGACAUCCCUCUGACCGCUCUAGAGAUAGAAUUUUCCUUCGGGACAGAGGUGACAGGUGGUGCAUGGUUGUCGUCAGCUCGUGUCGUGAGAUGUUGGGUUAAGUCCCGCAACGAGCGCAACCCCUAUUGUUAGUUGCCAUCAUUUAGUUGGGCACUCUAGCGAGACUGCCGGUAAUAAACCGGAGGAAGGUGGGGAUGACGUCAAAUCAUCAUGCCCCUUAUGACCUGGGCUACACACGUGCUACAAUGGCUGGUACAACGAGUCGCAAGUCGGUGACGGCAAGCUAAUCUCUUAAAGCCAGUCUCAGUUCGGAUUGUAGGCUGCAACUCGCCUACAUGAAGUCGGAAUCGCUAGUAAUCGCGGAUCAGCACGCCGCGGUGAAUACGUUCCCGGGUCUUGUACACACC
rnacentral:rRNA from 1 species